rnacentral:tRNA from 1 species
GUGGGAAUAGCUCAGUGGUAGAGCAUAUGCUUAGCAUGCACAGGGUUCUGGGUUCAAUCCCCAGUCCCUCCA